rnacentral:rRNA from 1 species
UGGGGAAUAUUGGACAAUGGGGGAAACCCUGAUCCAGCGACGCUGCGUGUGUGAAGAAGGCCUGCGGGUUGUAAAGCACUUUCGGUGGGAACGAAAUAUGCCGGGCUAAUACCCCGGUAGGCUGACGUUACUCAAUGAAGAAGCACCGGCUAACUCUGUGCCAGCAGCCGCGGUAAUACAGAGGGUGCGAGCGUUAAUCGGAAUUACUGGGCGUAAAGCGCACGUAGGUGGCGACGUAAGUCGGGUGUGAAAUCCCCGGGCUCAACCUGGGAACCGCAUUCGAGACUGUGUUGCUGGAGUACGGAAGAGGAGGGCGGAAUUCCCGGUGUAGCGGUGAAAUGCGUAGAUAUCAAGAGGAACACCUGAGGUGAAGACGGGUUGCUGGGCUGACACUGACGCUGAGGCGCGAAAGCGUGGGGAGCAAACAGGAUUAGAUACCCACGUAGUCCCUGAGCGGGCUGGCAAGGCGCAU